UACGUAGGUGACAAGCGUUGUCCGGAUUGACUGGGCGUAAAGAGCGCGCAGGCGGUCGAUCAAGUCGGGUGUGAAAGCCCCGGGCUCAACCUGGGAAUUGCAUUCGAGACUGCAUUGCUGGAGUACGGAAGAGGAAGGCGGAAUUCCCGGUGUAGCGGUGAAAUGCGUAGAUAUCGGGAGGAACAUCAGUGGCGAAGGCGGCCUUCUGGUCCAGUACUGACACUCAAGUGCGAAAGCGUGGGGAGCAAACAGG
rnacentral:rRNA from 1 species